AGUGAACGCUGGCGGUAGGCCUAACACAUGCAAGUCGAACGGCAGCACAGUAAGAGCUUGCUCUUACGGGUGGCGAGUGGCGGACGGGUGAGGAAUACAUCGGAAUCUACUUAUUCGUGGGGGAUAACGUAGGGAAACUUACGCUAAUACCGCAUACGACCUACGGGUGAAAGCAGGGGAUCUUCGGACCUUGCGCGAUUGAAUGAGCCGAUGUCGGAUUAGCUAGUUGGCGGGGUAAAGGCCCACCAAGGCGUCGAUCCGUAGCUGGACUGAGAGGAUGAUCAGCCACACUGGAACUGAGACACGGUCCAGACCCCUACGAGAGGCAGCAGUGGGGAAUAUUGGACAAUGGGCGCAAGCCUGAUCCAGCCAUACCGCGUGGGUGAAGAAGGCCUUCGGGUUGUAAAGCCCUUUUGUUGGGAAAGAAAAGCAGCAGGUUAAUACCCCGCUGUUCUGACGGUACCCAAAGAAUAAGCACCGGCUAACUUCGUG
rnacentral:rRNA from 1 species